UACGUAGGCAGCGAGCGUUGUUCGGAAUUACUGGGCGUAAAGCGUGCGCAGGCGGUUUUGCAAGCCGGAUGUGAAAUCCCCGGGCUCAACCUGGGAAUGGCAUUCGGGACUGCAAGGCUGGAGUGCGGCAGAGGAGACUGGAAUUCCUGGUGUAGCAGUGAAAUGCGUAGAUAUCAGGAGGAAUACCGAUGGCGAAGGCAGGUCUCUGGGCUGACACUGACGCUCAUGCACGAAAGCGUGGGGAGCAAACAGG
rnacentral:rRNA from 1 species